rnacentral:rRNA from 1 species
UAGUAUUCAAUUGUCAGAGGUGAAAUUCUUGGAUUUAUUGAAGACUAACAACUGCGAAAGCAUUUGCCAAGGAUGUUUUCAUUAAUCAAGAACGAAAGUUAGGGGAUCGAAGACGAUCAGAUACCGUCGUAGUCUUAACCAUAAAUUAUGCCGACUAGGGAUCGGAUGAUGUUAUUUUUAAUGACUCA